UCCAGUUGUGAAUGAGGCCAGUCCAUACCUACUGACCUAGUGGGCCCACAAAGUACCCAGAAGAUGACGCAUGAAGACAGUGUGUGUGGACUUGCUCCUCAAACAUGAACAGAGAUCCCAAGUGGGUCGGUACUGCCAUUCCUGGGAGAGGUCUGGUCCCCAAGCCUUCUCCUCCUCUGGAAGCCCCAUCUACUUCCUGCCUGGCUACUGGCCUAUCAGUGUUUUAUUCAUCAACCAAUAAGAGAAACAUGUGCAGAAGAACGUUCCCAUCAGGCCUUUCACAUCAGCCCACUGAUGUGGGAACCAACGGGAUGGUGAUUACACUGCUCGCUGUGAGUCUGGGGAGAGCAGGUUGUGACCCACAAGGAUCUAGCAUGUCCCAUGCCACCCAGAACCUCUAUCAGCAGCCUGAGACUGAGGGCAGAUGAAGACUUUGGCCUGAGUUAGAAAAGAAGUUUAAGACACACAUUUGCCUCUGGGGUGUUUUGGACCGUGGGGGACAUCCUCU
rnacentral:lncRNA from 1 species